AUCCAGCCGAAGAGUCUAAGAUGGGACUAAACGCACGUCCUGGAU
rfam:Schistosoma margrebowiei strain Zambia genome assembly, scaffold: SMRZ_contig0000461